rnacentral:lncRNA from 1 species
AAUGCAUUGUGAUGAAUGGUAGUAUCAGGGGGGCUAAUGAGGGCAUGCACAUAAGCAUGUACUCCGUAAGGUACGUUUGUUCUGGUAAUCUGUGUAAGCUUUGAGCACUUGGGUGCUAAUUUCUCUGACUAUCGUGGAUAUCUUAGCAACCCAGCGAUAUAUAAUUUAUUGACCUAAAUAAGCCACUUCGAAACUUUUCCGAAAAAAGCCACUUCGAAACUUGCUGCUUUGAUUUGUAUUUUGAGUCAUUGACAUAUUUGUUUCCCCGCCUGAUGCUGAAUCCAAGCCAUCAUGAAUAUGUGUUGUAGAACUCAUACGCCUCCUGCUCGGAUUUUUUUUGAAACAAGGCAAAAGACUUGCCAUUUCAUUGAUUAAGCCAACAGCUGGUUCGAAAACAACUGUUUCCCAAGUUUUGAUGCUCCUUCAAUUGCACGCUCUAUAGCACUUCGAUAUGCUUCUAUUGGUGCCCGGAAAGAAUUGCUAGUUCUGUUUCUGUAAAGAAAAACAACAAGGCGGUGCAGCUUGUUAAUAUACUCAGCACAAAAGUCUAUAACUCGCGGAUGACUGAAAAGGAUGCUAGUAAGAAUAAAGAGACAUUCGAGAAAUGAUCAUCCUACCACUCGGUUGACUACUGCAAUGCUUCUUACUUCAUUUACCUGUCACCGUGAUUUACGAGAGAGAAAAGUCGGGGCAAAAUGUACCUGAAAAACGAUGCAGAAUUGCAGAUACCGGUAUUAAGGUGAUUACUUCUGCUGUCUUAUCCAUCCAUCGUUUCCCGGCAUGGUCGUGGCGGCAUCGCUGGUCUGCUAUCGUUCUCGUCUUCAACAAGAUCCACGGCGAUUGACGGGUGAUGUGAAGGUAUCUGGCUAUUGGUUCUGGAGAAGAUGGGAUCCAUGGGUGCUUCUCCUAUUGCCACAUCUACCGCCGAGAACUCUGUAGACAAUGAUCGCAUAAUUUUGGAUGACAUGAAAACUGACACAUUAAGCGGUAUGCAGCUGAAAAACUCACUUGGGUAGUCGACGAAAUCCUCACGCUGCGCUGCACCGUCGUUCUAGAUUUUUCCAACCUGACG